CUAAAGCAACUCAGACUCAUUUCACUCAUUUAAUAUGCUUUCCUUCUCUGAGGAAAGAAUUUGUAUAUUGAGCUGUGCUGAAUACAGAUUUUAUUUAGCUGUGUAUAGAUGUUUUAUAUUUAUAAACACAUGUAAUUACAGACUGUCUCCAGCCUAUUUGAAUUACCUACAAAUGGAUAUAGCAAUUGCCUGCAUAUCACCUUACAGUUUUAAAGAAAACCAUCCACAAGCAUUAACUAAGCACUUCCCAUUCAUUUACUCUCCAUUAUUAACUUCUUCCUACUUUGAAGACAUAUUACGUUACAAUAUGAAAGACUCUGUGAAAGACAAGGAAAACUAAAGCCUAAAACCUAAGAGGGAUAAAUGCUCUGUUAGAAGUUCUGGAAUACUACUCAGCAAUGAAAAAGAAUGAAAUCUUGCCAUUUGCAACGACAUGGAUGGAAUGGGAGGGUAUUAUGCUAAGCGAAAUCAGUCAGAGAAAGAAGAUAUAUGUUCUCACUCACAUGUGGGAUUUGAGAAACUUAACAGAAGACCAAGGGGGAAGGGAAGGAAAAAAUACAUAUAGUUACAAACUGAGAGGGAGUCCAACCAUAAGAGACUCUUAAAUACAGAGAACAAACUGAGGGUUGAUGAGGGGGGAGGGGAAAAUGGAAGAUGGGCAUUGAGGAGGUCACUUGUUGGGAUAAGCACUGAGUAUUGUAUGGAAGCAAUUAAUCAUAGGCAUCUACUCCCAAAGCCAAGAGCACACUGAUACUUUAUAUGUUAGCUAACUUGACAAUAAAUUAUAUAUAAAACAGAAAUUAAACAGAAAUUUGUAAUAUUAAAAAAAAAAGUCCAGAGCACUCUAGGAGCCUGUAGAAAGAGUAUUUACUGCCUGUUUAGAGAGUCAGAAAGGAUUCCAGAGCUCAGCCCCAGGUGACUCUUUGAAGAUGAGAAGUAGUCAGGCAGAGGGAGUGAAAGGUAAAAGCAUAUAAACUUGAGAGAGAAUAUUAAAAACUAUGAGAAACCGAAGAUGAUGAAAAAAUUCAACCGUUUUUAAAUAAUAAAUGUUUGUUGACUGAAUAGACGUAAAAAUGACUACCCUUUCCAAGCUUUAGCUACCUUGAAUGAAUACAAACAUUUUAUUCUAUCAAGCCUACUUUCCCACAUCAAUAAUUUUUAUGAUUCUAUUCUGGAUUUUCUCAAUAUUCUUAGACUAUUUGUCCAUAUUAUGCAUCCAGUGAAACUCAACACUGCAAUAAAGUCUGUAUCGUUUGAGAGUAGGAGAAUAUUCACAUUGAAAUUCUCCAAACAUUCUUGCAAAUUUGUCAUGGGCUUGCCAAGUGAUUUCUGAUGUUAUUCCAGAAAUUAGGAACAAAUUUAUCCUAGACGAAGACACAAUAAACCCAAGCUUUUAUUCAAUGACUAAUAUGCCUGACCUCUGAUGACCAUAUGAUGUGGGCAGCAGAUUAUCUGCUCAGUGGUAUAUCAUCUCCCUCACCUCCCUCUAGACCCUUUCUGCUAAGCUAUGAAAUCGUCUGCUUUCAUAGACUAUAAAACCUUAAGUAAUUAUCUACUGGUUUCAUGUGCCAUUCCACAUUAGUAGAAUCUGUGAUUGUAAGAGGACAGGUGACUCUUUCCUUUGGUCUUUUCUUGUACCCAGCAAUGGCUGGAUUACUCUAGACGAUUUACAAGGGUCUUAUAUGCUAUUUGAAAGUAAGUAUAAUCCAGUGUUAAAGAACUGAAUGUGACCAAACUAUAGAGCUAACAUGAGCUAACAAAAUGCAUCCCUGAAUCUAGCAUGACUUUUACAUUGAAGCCACAUUAACAUCAUUGUCUAUCAAAGUUUUUUAAAACGUGGGUUUUUUAUUUGGUGAACAGAUGGGUAGAGUUUGUGGCAAGGUUUGUUUCUUCUUUUGUUUUGGUGUUUUGAUGUAUUGUAGAGCUAGGUGCCUUAGCAGGGGAAAUUUGACAAAGUUCUGUUUACCUGGUUUAAGGUACAUAUUAGUCUUUCUGUUAAGAUUUUACAAAUGAUCGGGGAGCCUAUGUGGCUCAAUCGGUUAAGCAUCUGACUUCAGCUCAGGUCUGAUCUCACUGUUGGUGAGUUUGAGCCCCACAUUGGUCUCUGUGCUGACAGCUCAGAGCCUGGAGCCUGCUUCAGAUUCUGUGUCUCCCUCUCUCUCUGCCCCUCCCCCCUUGCACUCUGUGUCUUUCUCUCUCAAAAAUAAACACUGAAAAAAAUUAAAAAAAUAAAAAAGAUUUUACAAACGAUCUUUUCAGAGAUAGGAGCUAAAGCACAACUCCUUUCAUGAUCAGUUAGCUCUGUUCACACCAGAGCCUGGGAGUCAAUAGGUCAUCCUGGAAUCAACAUGGGCUUUGUAGUCACUUGGCAUUUUAUUUGAAUACCAUCUGUCUCAUUUCACUCAUUCAGCAGGUACCUAGUGAGUAUCCAUUUUAUGCCGAUUCUCAUUUGGAUGCUGGGUACAGAUAGUUUGAAAAGAACACAAGUCCUGUUCUCAUGGAGCUUAAACCCUGCAAUUUUAACCUCUCUGUUUCAACAGAACAGAGUGAUUGGAAGUUUAAUUAAGAUAUGUUUCAUAUAGAACUGAAACAACUUAUGUCAAGUGCGUAGAUAGUACUUCAGUUUCUACAUGCCCUAUCUAACAUGUUGGUGAUGCCCAACAACAAUUUCACAAAGCAAUUUCAAUCUGGUGUUCACUCCUUGAGAGUGUUAUCAGAGGCUAUGUUGAUAAAUUGUUGAUCUUUAUGACAUCAGCUUCAAAGAUUAGGGGCUUACACACAGAGCUGGUUUACCUGAAAAACGCCUCAUUAUUAAUUUGUUAUUAAUGUAUUUAUUUAAGCAUUUUUGUAAUAAGCUAAGUGUCUAGCCACACAUCAGCCCAUGGAGGUAAUUUCCUUUUGAAGGGCUCUGUUGUAUAAUGAAUAAGCUUGGCACAAUCCCAAAUUUGGGGGAGAAAAUGGGCCAGUCACUUCGAUUGUCUGGGUCCACCUCAUAGAGAGGAUAAGAGAAUAGCACCUAUUGAAUGACACCAAAGUUCCUUUAUAUUUGGAAGACUUUAUGGUUCUACUUCCGUUAACUUUCUAAAACAUGCUUUUUAAGCUGCGAAGAAUAUCCCUCACUUGGAAUGCUAUACUCAUUCAUAUAUUUUACAAUUUUAUAAAUUUAUGUUUUUUAAAUUGACUGCUUUUAAAUAAAUGGACAAAAAUUUA